rnacentral:lncRNA from 1 species
GGCUCCUCCCUGCGUCUCUUUCUGGGCCGUGGAGCUGUCCGCUCUGAAACCUGAGGAAGUCGUAGUUCAGGGAGGGGUAGCUCUUGCACCUAGGCCGUUAGGAACGAGUUUUAGGUUCGAAUCCCAUCUUAUGGAAGGUGGUAUUGGUCCCUUGGGUGUCCCACCCGUCUCAGCCAAACUGCGGGCCAUUUCCCGGGGCGAGCAAGGGGAGUUACCGCGCCAGUGGGUGGACUCGCCGCCUCUCGGAGUCGGGAGGAAGUCGAGCUGGGGUGCAGUUACGAG